GAUGAACGCUGGCGGCGUGCUUAACACAUGCAAGUCGAACGGAAAGGCCCAAGCUUUCUUGGGUACUCGAGUGGCGAACGGGUGAGUAACACGUGGGUGAUCUGCCCUGCACUUCGUGAUAAGCCUGGGAAACUGGGUCUAAUACCGGAUAGGACGAUGGUUUGGGUGCCAUUGUGGAAAGUUUUUUCGGUGUGGUAUGAGUUCGCGGCCUAUCAGCUUGUUGGUGGGGUAAUGGCCUACCAAGGCGUCGACGGGUAGCCGGCCUGAGAGGGUGUACGGCCACAUUGGGACUGAGAUACGGCCCAGACUCCUACGGGAGGCAGCAGUGGGGAAGAUUGAACAAUGGGCGCAAGCCUGAUGCAGAGAGGCCGCGUGGGGGAUGACGGCCUUCGGGUUGUAAACUAAUUUCGCUAGGGACGAAGCGUUUUGUGACGGUACCUGGAGAAGAAGCACCGGCUAACUACGUG
rnacentral:rRNA from 1 species